GGGGGAUAACGUUCGGAAACGGACGCUAAUACCGCAUACGUCCUACGGGAGAAAGCAGGGGACCUUCGGGCCUUGCGCUAUCAGAUGAGCCUAGGUCGGAUUAGCUAGUUGGUGGGGUAAUGGCUCACCAAGGCGACGAUCCGUAACUGGUCUGAGAGGAUGAUCAGUCACACUGGAACUGAGACACGGUCCAGACUCCUACGGGAGGCAGCAGUGGGGAAUAUUGGACAAUGGGCGAAAGCCUGAUCCAGCCAUGCCGCGUGUGUGAAGAAGGUCUUCGGAUUGUAAAGCACUUUAAGUUGGGAGGAAGGGUUGUAGAUUAAUACUCUGCAAUUUUGACGUUACCGACAGAAUAAGCACCGGCUAACUCUGUGCCAGCAGCCGCGGUAAUACAGAGGGUGCAAGCGUUAAUCGGAAUUACUGGGGCGUAAAGCGCGCGUAGGUGGUUAGUUAAGUUGGAUGUGAAAUCCCCGGGCUCAACCUGGGAACUGCAUUCAAAACUGACUGACUANAGUAUGGUAGAGGGUGGGUGGGAAUUUCCUGUGUUACCGGUGAAAUGCGUAGAUAUAGGAAAGGACACCANUGGGCGAAGGCGAACCAACCUGGGACUGAAUACUUGACACUGAAGGUGCCAAAACGUUGGGGGAACAAACAAGGAUUANUACCUGGUAUCCACNCCGUUAACNAUUUCACUAACNUUUGGAAGCCUGANCUCCUUAAUGGCCAACUAACNCAUUAAUUUACCNCCUGGGGAUACGGCCCAAGUUAAAUCNAAUAAUUGCNGGGGCCCCAANGCGUGGACCANUGNUUAUNCNACANCCAAAAACUUACANGCUUGAAUCAAAGAAUUCUAAAAAAUUGNNCUCGGAAAUNAAAGNCGNAGGUNCCCNCCCNUCUAAAUGGUAUCCUACCCNN
rnacentral:rRNA from 1 species